UUCUUGAACAUUUAUUAUAUGCAAAUUACUGUCUUAGGCAUUUGGGAGUACAGGCAUGAGAAGACAGAGGGUUGUUUGGUGGAUAUUUUAGGACACUCCAGAUAUAUUAGCAUGGAGUUCCCGUCGUGGCUCCGUGGAAAUGAAUCUGACUAGUAUCCAUGAGGAUACGGGUUUGAUCCCUGGCCUCGGUCAGUGGGUUAAGGAUCCAGUGUUGCCAUGAGCAGUGGUGUAGGUUGCAGACAUGGCUUGGAUCCGAAGUUGCUGUGACUGUGGCAUAGGCCAGCUGCUGUAGCUCUGAUUUGAUCCCUAGUCUGGGAACUUCCACAUGCCAUGGGUGUGGACCUAAAAGGCAAAAUAAAUAAAUAAAUAAAUUUUAAAACGAUAUAUUAGGAUGCCAUCUGAAAGAUCUUUCUGUGAAGACUCUUAAUUAUCAUCUCAUUUAUUUCCUUUAAAUCUUGUGAGAGGAGUUCCUGUUGUGGCUCAGUGGUUAACGAACCCAACUAGUACCCAUAAGGACGUGGGUUCGAUGCCUGGCCUCGCUCAGUGGGUUAAGGAUCCAGCAUUGCCGUGAACUGUAGUGUAGGUUGAAGACGUGGCUCGGAACCUGCAUUGCUGUGGUUGUGUGGUGUAGGCCGGCAGCAACAGCUCCAAUUCGACCCCUAGCCCGGGAACCUCCAUAUGCCUUGGGUGCAGCCCUAAAAAGACACACACACACAAACCUUGUGAGAAAUGCAGUGAUUUUCAAAGCCAGUAGUUCUUGAUCAUGGCAUGCAGCAUCUUAAUGUGGGAUCUCAGUUACCAGACCAGGGACUGAACCCGGGCCACAGUGGUGAAAGCUCUGAAUACUAACCACUAGACCACCAGGGAACUCCGAUUUUUUUUUCCUCUAAUUUUUUCCCCCAAUUUCCUCCAAUACAAUUUUUUUCUGUUCAUAUUCGUUCUCUCUUUUAUCUUAGCAUCUGACUCUCCAAAAAGGGCUACCUAAAUAGGUCAGCCUUAGGAAUUUCUCAAUGAAACUGCCCAAUGCAAACUCUCUGUAUUGAACCCCUGAGUCGGCCAAAACCCGUCCAUGCAGCCGUAGGGCUCCUCAGCAACUAGCUUGUAUAAAUUGUAUUUUUAUAUUCUUUAAUCGAGACAUAAAGAUCAUGGAGUUCCCUGAGAGCUCAGUGGGUUAAGGACCUGACAUUGUCACUGCUGUGGCUUGAAUUCAGUCCCAGGCCCGGGAACUUCCACAUGCCAUGGACAUGGCCAACAACAACCACAAAACUCGGAGUUCCUGUCGUGGCUCAGUGGUUAACGAAGCCAACUAGGAACCAUGAGGUUUUGAGUUUGAUCCUUGGCCUCGCUCAGUGGGUGAAGGAUCUGGUGUUGCCGUGAGCUGUGGUGUAGGUUGCAGACGCAGCUCGGGUCCUGCGUUUCUGUGGCUGGGGUGGAGGCUGGCAGCUGCAGCUCGGAUUAGACCCCUAGCCUGGGAACCUCCAUAUGCCACAGGUGCAGCCCUAGAAAAUACAAAAAUACAAAAAAAAAAAAAGAAAAAGAAAAAAAAA
rnacentral:lncRNA from 1 species